AGAACGAACGCUGGCGGCAUGCCUAAUACAUGCAAGUCGAACGAACUCUUCGGAGUUAGUGGCGCACGGGUGCGUAACGCGUGGGAAUCUGCCCUUGGGUUCGGAAUAACAGUUGGAAACGACUGCUAAUACCGGAUGAUGACGAAAGUCCAAAGAUUUAUCGCCCAGGGAUGAGCCCGCGUAGGAUUAGCUAGUUGGUGAGGUAAAGGCUCACCAAGGCGACGAUCCUUAGCUGGUCUGAGAGGAUGAUCAGCCACACUGGGACUGAGACACGGCCCAGACUCCUACGGGAGGCAGCAGUAGGGAAUAUUGGACAAGUGGGACGAAAGCCUGAUCCAGCAAUGCCGCGUGAGUGAUGAAGUCCGUUAGGUUGUAAAGCUCUUUUACCCGAGUAUGAUAAUAGACAGUAGUACGGAAGAAUAACGCCCCGGUACUAACCGUCCGUACGCCAGCCACGCCCGGUACGGUAACUCCGUAGGAGGCCGGG
rnacentral:rRNA from 1 species